CAAAUACUCCCUCCGUCCGUAAAUACUUGUCAUCAAAAUGGAUAAAAGGAAAUGUAUCUAGACAUAUUUUAGUUUUAGAUACAUCUCUUUUUAUCCAUUUUGAUGACAAGUAUUUUCGGACGGAGGGAGUAGAAA
rnacentral:pre_miRNA from 1 species